rnacentral:rRNA from 1 species
AACGCGAAGAACCUUACCAGGUCUUGACAUCCCUCUGAAUACGUUAGAGAUAGCGUAGGCCUUCGGGACAGAGGAGACAGGUGGUGCAUGGUUGUCGUCAGCUCGUGUCGUGAGAUGUUGGGUUAAGUCCCGCAACGAGCGCAACCCUUGAAUUCAGUUGCCAGCACUUCGGGUGGGCACUCUGAAUUGACUGCCGGUGACAAACCGGAGGAAGGUGGGGAUGACGUCAAAUCAUCAUGCCCCUUAUGACCUGGGCUACACACGUACUACAAUGGUCGGUACAACGGGAAGCGAAGCCGCGAGGUGGAGCCAAUCCUAGAAAAGCCGGUCUCAGUUCGGAUUGCAGGCUGCAACUCGCCUGCAUGAAGUCGGAAUUGCUAGUAAUCGCGGAUCAGCAUGCCGCGGUGAAUACGUUCCCGGGCCUUGU